UACGUAGGGUGCGAGCGUUAAUCGGAAUUACUGGGCGUAAAGCGUGCGCAGGCGGGUCGUUAAGUUCGUUGUGAAUGCCCCGGGCUCAACCUGGGAACUGCAAUGGAAACUGGCGGGCUUGAGUGUGGCAGAGGGGGGUGGAAUUCCGCGUGUAGCAGUGAAAUGCGUAGAGAUGCGGAGGAACACCGAUGGCGAAGGCAGCCCCCUGGGCCAACACUGACGCUCAGGCACGAAAGCGUGGGGAGCAAACGGG
rnacentral:rRNA from 1 species